GAUGAACGCUGGCGGCGUGCCUAACACAUGCAAGUCGUACGGAAAGGCCCUUCGGGGUACUCGAGUGGCGGACGGCUGAGUAACGCGUGGGAACGUGCCCCAAAGUGGGGGAUAACGCACCGAAAGGUGUGCUAAUACCGCAUAUGGUCUUCGGAUUAAAGCUUCGGCGCUUUGGGAGCGGCCCGCGUACGAUUAGAUAGUUGGUGAGGUAAUGGCUCACCAAGUCGACGAUCGUUAGCUGGUCUGAGAGGAUGAUCAGCCAGACUGGGACUGAGACACGGCCCAGACUCCUACGGGAGGCAGCAGUAAGGAAUCUUCCACAAUGGGGGCAACCCUGAUGGAGCAACGCCGCGUGCAGGAUGAAGGUUUUCGGAUCGUAAACUGCUUUUAUAAGUGAAGAAUAUGGCGGUAACUUAUGAAUAAGGAUCGGCUAACUACGUGCCAGCCGCCGCCGUAA
rnacentral:rRNA from 1 species